rnacentral:lncRNA from 1 species
CUGGAGUGGGAAGACAGGCAGGGCCUCUUGAAGGAGGUGACCUUCCUUCCCGAACUAGGGCUCUUUCCAUCAAAGCCCAUCGAAUGGCACAGCAAAGAGGCUGGACAGGGCUCCGUUGACCGAUGCUGAUCUGGAAGGAA